rnacentral:rRNA from 1 species
CCUAACACAUGCAAGUCGAGCGGUAGCACAGAGAGCUUGCUCUCGGGUGACGAGCGGCGGACGGGUGAGUAAUGUCUGGGAAACUGCCUGAUGGAGGGGGAUAACUACUGGAAACGGUAGCUAAUACCGCAUAACGUCGCAAGACCAAAGUGGGGGACCUUCGGGCCUCAUGCCAUCAGAUGUGCCCAGAUGGGAUUAGCUAGUAGGUGGGGUAACGGCUCACCUAGGCGACGAUCCCUAGCUGGUCUGAGAGGAUGACCAGCCACACUGGAACUGAGACACGGUCCAGACUCCUACGGGAGGCAGCAGUGGGGAAUAUUGCACAAUGGGCGCAAGCCUGAUGCAGCCAUGCCGCGUGUGUGAAGAAGGCCUUCGGGUUGUAAAGCACUUUCAGCGGGGAGGAAGGCGUUAAGGUUAAUAACCUUAGCGAUUGACGUUACCCGCAGAAGAAGCACCGGCUAACUCCGUGCCAGCAGCCGCGGUAAUACGGAGGGUGCAAGCGUUAAUCGGAAUUACUGGGCGUAAAGCGCACGCAGGCGGUCUGUCAAGUCGGAUGUGAAAUCCCCGGGCUCAACCUGGGAACUGCAUUCGAAACUGGCAGGCUAGAGUCUUGUAGAGGGGGGUAGAAUUCCAGGUGUAGCGGUGAAAUGCGUAGAGAUCUGGAGGAAUACCGGUGGCGAAGGCGGCCCCCUGGACAAAGACUGACGCUCAGGUGCGAAAGCGUGGGGAGCAAACAGGAUUAGAUACCCUGGUAGUCCACGCCGUAAACGAUGUCGAUUUGGAGGUUGUGCCCUUGAGGCGUGGCUUCCGGAGCUAACGCGUUAAAUCGACCGCCUGGGGAGUACGGCCGCAAGGUUAAAACUCAAAUGAAUUGACGGGGGCCCGCACAAGCGGUGGAGCAUGUGGUUUAAUUCGAUGCAACGCGAAGAACCUUACCUGGUCUUGACAUCCACAGAACUUAGCAGAGAUGCUUUGGUGCCUUCGGGAACUGUGAGACAGGUGCUGCAUGGCUGUCGUCAGCUCGUGUUGUGAAAUGUUGGGUUAAGUCCCGCAACGAGCGCAACCCUUAUCCUUUGUUGCCAGCGGUUAGGCCGGGAACUCAAAGGAGACUGCCAGUGAUAAACUGGAGGAAGGUGGGGAUGACGUCAAGUCAUCAUGGCCCUUACGACCAGGGCUACACACGUGCUACAAUGGCAUAUACAAAGAGAAGCGACCUCGCGAGAGCAAGCGGACCUCAUAAAGUAUGUCGUAGUCCGGAUUGGAGUCUGCAACUCGACUCCAUGAAGUCGGAAUCGCUAGUAAUCGUAGAUCAGAAUGCUACGGUGAAUACGUUCCCGGGCCUUGUACACACCGCCCGUCACACCAUGGGAGUGGGUUGCAAAAGAAGUAGGUAGCUUAACCUUCGGGAGGGCGCUUACCACUUUGUGAUUCAUGACUGGGGUGAAGUCGUA